rnacentral:lncRNA from 10 species
GGGGAAGCCAGCUGCAUGUCAUAUGGACAUUCAGGCAACCUAGGGUGUGAAUAAUGUGGCAAGGAAAUAAAAGGCCUGCUAGCAAAUGCUCAGUUGAGCUUGGUAAUGGGUCCUCUCCCAGCAUCUCCAGCCAAGAGCUUGACUGCAACCUCAUAUGAGAUUUUGAGCCAUAACCAUUCAGCUAAACUGCUUCUGGAUACCUGACCAUAGAAACUGUGAGAUUAUAAGAGAAGCAGAUCUUAGGGGGACAAGAGUACAUAUGAAACACAGCAGAGGAGUAGGAUAUGUCUUUGAAUGAAGAUGCCUGAGGGACUGAAUAAAGAACCUGGACAACUAAAGAAAAAAGACACCUAUGGAUCAGAAUUGAGACAAUUUCUUCAGAACUUCCAGUUUCCCAAGACGCAACAUUGAAUUCAAUCAGAGGUAAAGAUUCUGGACUAUUGGAUUAAAUGAGGAGGCAGGAGCUACUAUCUCUUGCAGUGAAAUUAUGCCAUUCAUUAGAAGGUGAUACUGUCAUCAAUGUGAGAGGCCCAGGACUCUGCAGGGCCUGAAGAAAUCCUGGGCAAUGAGUCUGAGGGAAGUCUCUCAGAGCAGCUACUCUGAGAGAGUAAAGCCGCAGCCUUUGUGGGGCACAAUAUGGCAACUGAGCCAUAACAAUCCAGUGCGUGCAGCAGCUCAGCAGUUGUCCAACCACAAGGAGGCGCCAAAGGGCUGACUGCCAGUUCUACGCGGGACGCCGACUAUUUGUCCCAGCGGUGGAGAGUAUCAAAGCAGGCAACAGGCAACAAGGAAAAUUUCAAGCGGGUUGAAAACCUCAUUCAAGAAGUCCCUAGAAAGAGUGAGUCUCUGAACAGGGCUCAGGUGGGGUGGCGGUGUAACCUGGUCAUGCACCUGAGGUUAGUUGGCAUUCUCAAAUCUCAUGUCAAUAGCCCGGAUGCUGGGUACCUCUGCUUCCGUGAGGUGUACAUUCUGAAGAGCUUCUGCUUAUUACUACAGAACUUACUAGGAGUGAGGGAAAUAGAGCAGCACAUUACUAAGCAUUUCACGAAUAGGAAAGUGCUCAGGGAUUCUUUUAUAAAAACAAAGCCAUUUGGCUUUAUUGUUUUUAAUAUAGAAGUACACAGACUAUUUAAGCAGAGAGUACUAUGUUGUUUAAUUGUGCUGCUUGAAAGAUAUCCAGUGAUCUUAACGGCUAGGUUGAAAAAUUGGAUUUGAACUAGGCAUUACAUACAAAUGAUGAUAGUCUCUGUGUUAGCAUGUAAGAAUAAAUACUUUAGAAUAUAGCUACCCCUGUAAUAAAUAUCAA